rnacentral:rRNA from 1 species
UAGUAACUGCGAGUGAAGCGGGAAAAGCUCAAAUUUAAAAUCUGGUAGUCUUUGGCUGCCCGAGUUGUAAUCUAGAGAAGUGUUAUCCGCGCUGGACCGUGUAUAAGUCUCCUGGAAUGGAGCGUCAUAGAGGGUGAGAAUCCCGUCUUUGACACGGACUACCAGGGCUUUGUGAUGCGCUCUCAAAGAGUCGAGUUGUUUGGGAAUGCAGCUCUAAAUGGGUGGUAAAUUCCAUCUAAAGCUAAAUAUUGGCGAGAGACCGAUAGCGAACAAGUACCGUGAGGGAAAGAUGAAAAGAACUUUGGAAAGAGAGUUAAACAGUACGUGAAAUUGUUGAAAGGGAAACGCUUGAAGUCAGUCGCGUUGAUCAGGGAUCAGCCUUGCUUUUGCUUGGUGUACUUCCUAGUUAACGGGUCAGCAUCAAUUUUGAUCAGUGGAGAAAGGUCAGGGGAAUGUGGCAUCUUCGGAUGUGUUAUAGCCUCUGGUCAUAUACAUUGAUUGGGAUUGAGGAACUCAGCACGCCGCAAGGCCGGGUUUUACCACGUUCGUGCUUAGGAUGCUGGCAUAAUGGCUUUAAUCGACCCGUCUUGAAACACGGACCAAGGAGUCUAACAUGCCUGCGAGUGUUUGGGUGGAAAACCCAUGCGCGU